AUUGAACGCUGGCGGCAGGCCUAACACAUGCAAGUCGAACGAGUGGCGGACGGGUGAGUAAUGUCUGGGAAACUGCCUGAUGGAGGGGGAUAACUACUGGAAACGGUAGCUAAUACCGCAUACCAUCGGAUGUGCCCAGAUGGGAGUAGCUUGGAGGUGGGGUAAAGGCUCACCUAGGCGACGAUCCCUAGCUGGUCUGAGAGGAUGACCAGCCGCACUGGGACGGAGACACGGUCCAGACGCCGUCGUGAGGCAGCAGUGGGGAAUAUGGCACAAUGGGCGCAAGCCUGAUGCAGCCGGGCCGAGUGUAUGAAGAAGGACUUCGGGGUGUAAAGUACUUUCAGCGGGGAGGCGUUACCCGCAGAAGAAGCACCGGCUAACUCCGUGCCAGCAGCCGCGGUAAUUC
rnacentral:rRNA from 1 species